rfam:Schistosoma haematobium scaffold9_37, whole genome shotgun sequence.
GCCUCCAUGGCGCAACCGGUUAGCGCGUUCGGCUGUUAACCGAAUGGUUGGUGGUUCGAGCCCACCCAGGGGCG